UAUAUUAUUUUUCUAUAGAAACAACAUAUAACCUUUUUUUGUUUAUCUUUCCCCCACAUUUCACAAACCCUCCUCCGCCGAAUCGCAAAUCCUCCGCCGAAUCGCAUAUAUGGAACCACAAACCCCUCCGUCAAAUCCCUAAUCGAAGAACCUCAAACCCCUUCGUUGUUCUCCUUCGUUCAAUCCAUCAAUAUCUCCGUCGUUCUUCUUCAAUUCCUCCGCCGUUCUCCUUUAAUCCUCCGCCUUUCUCCGUCGUUCUCCGUGGUUCCAAGAAGCCCCUUUCACUACAAGAAAAAUUGAAGGCAGCGACAGUCCAUUUGAGGCACUAGGAAGUCAACCGCCACCGCUCAGCUUAACAACGACGUUUAUUGCGGCAUUCAUUCAACCGCCGUUGGUGUGUGUCAAUCUCGGCAGUUCUAGUGGUAAAGCGGCGGCAGUCUAAUUGGGUACAGCGGCGGCUAGAUUAGGAAUGUGAAAUGAAAAUUUCACUCCCCUCUCUCUUAUUCUCUGGCAUGAAAAUUUCACAUCGCACGACCCCUUGUUUUCAAAAUAGAAUGGUUUUCAAGCUUCAGCACUUCCUUCUCUGCUUGCUCGACCCCUUUGUUUUCAAUUUCAGGUGGUUGUUUUCAAUUUCAGCUGCUGAUGUGUUCUUAUGGAAGUGUAGGAACUGUGGUUUGGGUUUUUUGAGCUGCUUGAAUAUCACUUUCUUACUCAUGCGUGUCAUUUCAAUUCUGGUUAUUGUCCUAUUGGUUUUGUGGUCCAAUGCUCAUACCUUUCUUCAUAGGGACCUUUGAAAGGUUAAAGAUGUGAGAACUUGUAGCCAAAGUUAGGGUAAAAAUUGAAUUGUGGAAAAUGGUGGUGAUUGAAGAAAGUGGAAUGGAUGUGAAGUAAAUCAGUGGAAUGAAUGUGAAAUAAAGUUUCCAACAUGCUACUAGAUGGCAGAUCAGGUAACCGAAUAAGAAGAGUCAAGCGACGAUAGGCGUUUCUGAGUCUAGUUAACACUAAUUAAGGAUUAUGAAGCAACAUCACAUACUAGGGAUAUUUAGAUAUUUUUUGAACUUAUUUUGACGUAAUGUUAUAUUUAAUCACUCUACUAACAUUUAUGUUAUAGUUUUUGAAUGUUUGAACUACAUUAGUUUCUUUCAUUUGGAACUUCAUGUACUUGAAUUAAAUUUUUGAUUUAUAUGGAUCUUGUCACUAUUGAAUGAAUUAUAUAAAUGAGAUUAAGUUAUUUAUAUUUAUA